UACAUGUGGAGCAAGCGUUGUUCGGAGUUACUGGGCAUAAAGGGUGCGUAGGCGGCACGGUAAGUCAGUGGUGAAAGCCAGCGGCCCAACCGUUGGAAUGCCAUUGAUACUGCGGUGCUGGAGUGCGCGAGGGGUGGGUGGAACGAGUGGUGUAGCGGUGAAAUGCGUAGAUAUCACUCGGAAGGCCGGAGCCGAAGGGGGCCCACUGGAGCGCAACUGACGCUGAGGCACGAAAGCGUGGGGAGCAAACAGG
rnacentral:rRNA from 1 species